UGGGGAAUAUUGGACAAUGGACCAAAAGUCUGAUCCAGCAAUUCUGUGUGCACGAAGAAGGUCUUCGGAUUGUAAAGUGCUUUCAGUUGGGAAGAAGAAAGUGACGGUACCAACAGAAGAAGCGACGGCUAAAUACGUGCCAGCAGCCGCGGUAAUACGUAUGUCGCAAGCGUUAUCCGGAUUUAUUGGGCGUAAAGCGCGUCUAGGCGGGUUCAUAAGUCUGAUGUGAAAAUGCGGGGCUCAACUCCGUAUUGCGUUGGAAACUGUGAACCUAGAGUAUCAGAGAGGUGGGCGGAACUACAAGUGUAGAGGUGAAAUUCGUAGAUAUUUGUAGGAAUGCCGAUGGAGAAGUCAGCUCACUGGAUGAAUACUGACGCUAAAGCGCGAAAGCGUGGGUAGCAAACAGG
rnacentral:rRNA from 1 species